rnacentral:rRNA from 1 species
AUUGAACGCUGGCGGCAGGCCUAACACAUGCAAGUCGAGCGGAUGAAGGGAGCUUGCUCCUGGAUUCAGCGGCGGACGGGUGAGUAAUGCCUAGGAAUCUGCCUGGUAGUGGGGGAUAACGUCCGGAAACGGGCGCUAAUACCGCAUACGUCCUGAGGGAGAAAGUGGGGGAUCUUCGGACCUCACGCUCUCAGAUGAGCCUAGGUCGGAUUAGCUAGUUGGUGGGGUAAAGGCCUACCAAGGCGACGAUCCGUAACUGGUCUGAGAGGAUGAUCAGUCACACUGGAACUGAGACACGGUCCAGACUCCUACGGGAGGCAGCAGUGGGGAAUAUUGGACAAUGGGCGAAAGCCUGAUCCAGCCAUGCCGCGUGUGUGAAGAAGGUCUUCGGAUUGUAAAGCACUUUAAGUUGGGAGGAAGGGCAGUAAGUUAAUACCUUGCUGUUUUGACGGUACCAACAGGAUAAGCACCGGCUAACUUCGUG